rnacentral:ribozyme from 1 species
UGCCCAGCAACUCCCACCCCCUUACCUUCUCGUGGUGCUGGCCGGGGUACGAGCAAACUUGGAGAAGAUCGGGUAACCAACCCCGGUGGGAACUCUGGUCGUAUGCUGACAGGGAAGG